GCCAACAACAAUAGCACGUUGAAUCCUCCAAUCCCCAGUGGAUCACCCAAACUAAGCAACGAUGCGCGUGAUUGGUAUCCGGAUGGGUGACCAUUUGGGCACACAUGAAAGUAUUGUCU
rfam:Asian citrus Psyllid, Diaphorina citri - Florida Strain, whole genome shotgun sequence.